CUGACCUCAAAUAUGGUUUUUCCAUUUAUUUUGGAUGGCCACUGCUGAAAAGUAUCCUGCUGAAGGGGUAGGUCCAAAUCAAUCUGGGAGAGGCCAAGCAUAGUUUUUUGAGGAGUGAAACUUCCAGCAGCAAACCGCUUGGAUAAUUACUCAAGGUUUUCCCUACAGUAUUUUCUAAGGCAAUGUUUGAUUUUCAGUGAACCAUCAGAAGGUGAAGUGGAAGUUUUCCUUUGGACCCUGCAGAAGCAAAUAUGAGAAUCCAACUGCUUCUAUUUAGGCAGGCACUGAAGAGAUA
rnacentral:lncRNA from 1 species